UUUUUUAUUUUUAGUACAGACGGGGUUUCACCAUGUUGGCCAGGCUAGUCUCGAACUCUUGACCUAAGGACCUCUCAAAGUGGGCAAGAGCAGAGGAGUAACCCUGAUUCCCAGGGCAGGACCAAGAGAAGGAACCAGCUUUGGAACAGACACAAGACUCACUGCCACAAAGAGCAAUGUGUAACAGUCGGUGCUGGUGGAAAGAAAAGAGGCUUUUUCUCUGCAGAAAUUUUUUUUUCUUUUGCUUGUAUCU
rnacentral:lncRNA from 10 species